rnacentral:rRNA from 1 species
GGGAUCGCAAGACCUUGCGCUCUUUGAGCGGCCGAUGUCUGAUUAGCUAGUUGGUGAGGUAAAGGCUUACCAAGGCGACGAUCAGUAGCUGGUCUGAGAGGACGACCAGCCACACUGGGACUGAGACACGGCCCAGACUCCUACGGGAGGCAGCAGUGGGGAAUUUUGGACAAUGGGGGAAACCCUGAUCCAGCCAUGCCGCGUGAGUGAAGAAGGCCUUCGGGUUGUAAAGCUCUUUCAGCCGGAACGAAACGGUCACGGCUAAUACCUGUGACUACUGACGGUACCGGAAGAAGAAGCACCGGCUAACUACGUGCCAGCAGCCGCGGUAAUACGUAGGGUGCAAGCGUUAAUCGGAAUUACUGGGCGUAAAGCGUGCGCAGGCGGUUUUGUAAGUCAGAUGUGAAAUCCCCGGGCUUAACCUGGGAACUGCGUUUGAAACUACAAGGCUAGAGUGUGGCAGAGGGGGGUGGAAUUCCACGUGUAGCAGUGAAAUGCGUACAGAUGUGGAGGAACACCGAUGGGCGAAGGCAGCCCCCUGGGUUAACACU